UAAUCCACACAAUACUUCAACAAGCAUUUAUUAAACGCCUACUAUGUGCUCAGCACUAUACUAGGCACUCGGGGGUGCAGAGAUACAAAUGUAAAAGUUAUUAUUCCUGCCCUCAAGGAGCUUACAAUUUAAUUUUGGAAAUAAAUACAAAUAUGAAACUGUAACACAGAGUGCUAGAAAAUAAUUACAAAGCAACAUAUUAGUAAGUACAUGGACCACAGUACAAACUCAAAAGAUAAGUGCUGAGGCAGCACAGAAUGAGGGAGGUCAUCGCAUGAGGUGAUGUCAAUCAGGGAGAGCUCAGUCAGAAGAUAUAAAGGAAGAAAGGCUUUGAAGGGAGUGAUGAACAUGAGCUGGGACCAAAGAGCAAUCUAAGCAAAAAGAAUAGCAUGAGAAAGGCACAGAGGCAAGAGCUUGUAAGACAUCAGUAGAAGGCUGUAGGAAGUUUGAAUCUGUUGAAUCAAGGUGAAUAUGCUAGAGAGUAAUGAAGGCUGAUGAAUAUUAGGCAUAGAGGUAAUGGAGAAUUUGGAACACCACUGCUCCAUAGGAAUUAUCUACUGGGUGUUACUUAGUGAAAAUGAAAUUUUACAAUAGAGAUAUUGUAAAAAUGGGUGUUUGAGGAGGAUCGUCUUUGAAAAAUUAUCUACUGGGUGUUACUGAAAAUGAAAAUUUUACAAUACGGAUAUUGUAAAAAUGGAGUUUGAGGAGGAGCACCUUAGAAACUUUAUACAAGAUGGGGAUCCUGGGAGCAAGGAAAUUGGAAAAAAAAGAAUUACAGUAACCUGGGCCUCAGAUCUACAUGAAAAGCUAUAAUGGGAUGAGAGAAAUGGGAGAUCAAGCCUCAAGGAGAAAACUGAUUAAAAACUGGACUGACAGCAAGUUUUUGGACAUGGAGAAUGGAGAGCAGAAAAAGAUAACUCCAAGGCUGGGGUAAAAAUAUAAAGGUGGUGACACUUUUCAGGGCAAAGGAAUUACGCAAUGAGGCCUGUUUAAAAAGAAAACGGGGGCUGGGGAUAUAUGGUGAUGAAUCCUGUUUUCAAAUAUCAAGUUGUACAGGUACCUGUGGAAAAUUCCAAAAGUCACAAACUGACCCACAGGGUGGGAAAAAUGAAGUCAUUCGAAUACAAAUAGUAGGUAUAAACAAUCAAAAUGGAUAAAUAGGAGUAUAGAAAAUGAAGUGAAUAAAAGACAGGGAGAUUAUUCUCAGUGGAGAAGAGGAGAAAGGGGAGUGGGUGGAAAGAUCAACUAAAAAAAGAAAGACAGAUAUUAGAGAAAAAGGAUCCCACAAGCCAAAGGAGGGAGAAUUCAACAAUAUAAAAUAUAAAUUAGAUCAAAAAAGACAAGAAAUAAUAAUAAAAAAAGGCCUUAUUAUUUGUCCACUGGUGAGUCUAAGAACAUUUCACUGGAAUGCUAAGUAUGAAAGCCAGUAAAAAGAAGUUUUAAGAACAGAUUAAUGAAAAAGGGGGGUUGAAAAAUCAAAGAUAUGUUUGAAAAACCAUGAACAAUAGAGGAGAAACAGAAUGGUAGUUGGAAAUGGGCAAUGAGGAUGAAAGCAUUUCACAUUUUAUGCUGUAGAUGAACUUACUAUUGUCAUCCUAACUGACCAUCUGCCUGGCCUGGUACAUGGAUAUUUCAUUUCCCUCCACAAUUCUACUUUCCCUUUGGCAGUUUGGAGAAAAAUAUAUUUGAAUUUAUUAUUGCUUUAUCCUCCCAAUUACUCUGUUAAAUAUGUUUUGUUUGCACAAUUUAGCUUUGUAGUACUACAAAGCAUCAACACUUAAAAAUGAUAUAAUUGUAACCCCAAAAAGCAUUUUCCACCAAUUUUCCAGUAAUUGUAAUGUAUUUGCACUCUACUGCACAUUCUUUUCCCCAGUACCUCUCAUGACAAGCGCUACAUAUUUUUAAAAAGCUGGUUAGAAUUACCAUGUUCAUUAUACACACCUUAGCACAGUAGUCAGAACAGGCUCUAGAAUCAAACUGUGUGGGUCAGAAUCAGUUUUAUCACAUACUGGCUGGGUGAUAUUGGUCAGCUCACUCAACUAAGCCUCCGUUUCCUCAUUUAUAAAAUGGGGGAUAAAAUAAUACCUAUUGAUAUGGUUUGGCUGUGUCCCAUCCAAAUCUCAUCUUGAAUUGUAGCUCCCACAAUUCCCACGUGUCGUGGGUGGGACCAAGUGGGAGGUAAUUGAAUCACGGGGGCAGAACUUUCCUGUGCUGUUCUUGUGAUAGUGAAUAAGUCUCACAAGAUCGGACGGUUUUAUAAAGAGUUCCCCUGCACAAGUUCUCUCUUUGCCUGCUGCCAUCCAUGUAUAAGACAUGAUUUGCUCCUCCUUGCCUUCCACCAUGAUUGUGAGGCGUCCCCAGCCAUGUGGAACUGAGUCCAUUAAACCUCUUUCCUUUAUAAAUUACCCAGUGUCAGGUAUGUCUUUAAUAGCAGCAUGAGAACAGACUAAUACAUUUAUCAUGAGCCUGAGAAAGGCAUAACAGGGUUGGGCACAACUGAAACACAGAGC
rnacentral:lncRNA from 1 species